GACGAACGCUGGCGGCGUGCUUAACACAUGCAAGUCGAACGGUGAAGCUCCAGCUUGCUGGAGUGGAUCAGUGGCGAACGGGUGAGUAACACGUGAGCAACCUGCCCCAGACUCUGGUAUAAGCUCUGGAAACGGCGUCUAAUACUGGAUACGAUAUCACGCCGCAUUGUUAUCGUCUGGAAAUUUUUGCGGUUUGGGUUGGGUGCGCGGCGUAUCAGCUUGUUGGUGAGGUAAUGGCAGACCAAGGCGACGAAGGAUAGCCGGCCUGGGAGGGCGACCGGCCACAAGGGGACUGAGAGACGGACCAGACUCCAACGGGAGGCAGCAGGGGGGAAUAUUGCACAAUGGGAGAAAGCCUGAUGCAGCGACGCCGGGGGAGGGAUGACGGCCUUCGGGUUGUAAACAGCUGUCAGCAGGGAAGAAGCGAAAGUGACGGUACCUGCAGAAGAAGCACCGGCUAACUACGUG
rnacentral:rRNA from 1 species